GUUCCAUGAUGAUCCACCCAUGCGUGUCAUCUGACCCCCACACCCCCUGUUACCCCCUGGCUGGCGUUCUGCUGUGCUGGGGAAGGACACAGGGUUUUGGGGGGAAGUGAUCAUAACAGACCAGGUCCCUGAGAAC